ACGGAAGGCAGCAGUGGGGAAUAUUGGGCAAUGGGCGAAAGCCUGACCCAGCAACGCCGCGUGAAGGAAGAAGGUCUUCGGAUUGUAAACUUCUUUUAUGAGGGACGAAGGACGUGACGGUACCUCAUGAAUAAGCCACGGCUAACUACGUGCCAGCAGCCGCGGUAAUACGUAGGUGGCGAGCGUUAUCCGGAUUUACUGGGUGUAAAGGGCGCGUAGGCGGGGAUGCAAGUCAGAUGUGAAAUCUAUGGGCUCAACCCGUGAACUGCAUUUGAAACUGUCGUUCUUGAGUAUCGGAGAGGCAAGCGGAAUUCCUAGUGUAGCGGUGAAAUGCGUAGAUAUUAGGAGGAACACCAGUGGCGAAGGCGGCUUGCUGGACGACAACUGACGCUGAGGCGCGAAAGCGUGGGGAGCAAACAGGAUUAGAUACCCUGGUA
rnacentral:rRNA from 1 species